ACGAUCGUUGUUUCGAUUUCGAAUUGGGUUUCUGGAAUCAAAUCCACAAAUUUUAGGGUUUCUACCGAUAAUAAACAUCAAAUUUCUCCCAUUUCAUCUGUGUUGUUAUGGAUUCAGAUCGGAUUUAUUUGGUUUUCUUUGUGUAUCAGAUCUUAAUUUUAAUUUUGACUGUGGAAACCCCUAAUUUUUGUAAAAUGGUGAUUUAUUAGCGAGUAUGUGAAUCGCCAUUUGAUUUUCUUUCGUUGUUCUUGCGUGUUUGAUUUCUAGUAAUCCUUUGGUUCCUACUAUCAACUAACCAUUUACUUUCUAAAUGCUAAUCUCUGCUAGAGAGUUUGUCUUUCAUAUUUAGGUAGCCUUUAGUUUUUCUUUUAGGUUGUGGCAUAAUUAGCUUUGGGUUUUAAUUUUGAUGAUCAAUUACAUUGCAAUGUUGUACAUAGUUUCUUGUCAAUCUCUUUGUAUCUGUUAUUCAUUGUAUAGAAACAAGCCACAAGAUAAGAUGAAAGACAUGUUCGGAUUUUGAGCUGUGUGUAACGUCUAGGGGCGAGUGGCUUCGCCAAAGUAUGAGAAUCUUUGAAGUUUAAGAUACUGAAACUGUGAACUUCAUGUUAGCUUUAGAAGGUUUUAAUUGGUAAAGCAAAGAUUUUUGCUUUUCUUGAUUGGUGUAAUGUCUUUGUUGAAUGGAAUUAUGAGAAUGUGUAAUGUAUAUUGUUGAUAGGCCUCAGCGAAGCGGUUCAGAGUCACGGGUAGGGGAAGAUUGUGAGGAGGAGAUCCGGAAAGCAGCAUUUGUUAGCUAAGAAGAACAACAAGAGGAAAUUGCGUUUAUCGAAAAUGACCGAAGUGAACCGGAGCUCUAUGACAAUGUGAUCGGAGCUCUACCAUACUUGAAAGUCAAUCGAAAGGCGAUUUAAGCAGAGUAGGCUUGAUCCUUUUCUUACAUGCAAUUCUCAUUUUGUAAUCUAAAUUUGUGGUAAUAUCCUUUUGUAUUGUGAUAUAAUUUGGUCAAUGAGUUGAUUUUGUUUCAUAUUUGUGUCUUCUUUUUCUCGUCUCGCAUGACAAAAACUAUUCUAGGUGUAACAUAUACAUCAUCAA